rnacentral:rRNA from 1 species
GAUGAACGCUGGCGGCGUGCCUAAUACAUGCAAGUCGAGCGAACGGACGAGAAGCUUGCUUUUCUGAUGUUAGCGGCGGACGAGUGAGUAACACGUGGAUAACCUACCUAUAAGACUGGGAUAACUUCGGGAAACCGGAGCUAAUACCGGAUAAUAUUUUGAACCGCAUGGUUCAAAAGUGAAAGACGGUCUUGCUGUCACUUAUAGAUGGAUCCGCGCUGCAUUAGCUAGUUGGUAAGGUAACGGCUUACCAAGGCAACGAUGCAUAGCCGACCUGAGAGGGUGAUCGGCCACACUGGAACUGAGACACGGUCCAGACUCCUACGGGAGGCAGCAGUAGGGAAUCUUCCGCAAUGGGCGAAAGCCUGACGGAGCAACGCCUCGUGAGUGAUGAAGGUCUUCGGAUCGUAAAACUCUGUUAUUAGGGAAGAACAUAUGUGUAAGUAACUGUGCACAUCUUGACGGUACCUAAUCAGAAAGCCACGGCUAACUACGUG